GAGUAGAAAUGGCGCGUCAAGUACCGGUCGGAUGGGAGGUUGCCGCCGGGCGAAGGAAGUUUUUCCGCGGUGCCAUUUCGCAUCCGCUA
rnacentral:ncRNA from 1 species